AGCUAACGGCACAUACUCGGACAACCUAGCUAAAACGAGAGAUGGGGUAUUCGACCUGGAUUAUUCUGUGUUCCUGUAUCAUGCAAUCAUGUUUAUCAAAGUGUCCAGAAAAUGUGGAUAGUGAAAAUCAAUGUGGAAAUUCAGGAACGAAGUACCACUGUCAGUACGACGCCGGCUCCGAUACAACGACGGCUGUCUGUGUACGUGAAGUAAACUGCAGUGCAGGAACAUUCGCUGCUCUCAAUACAAUCGAGAAGCAAGUGACGUGCACGCCAUGCUCUCCAGAGAUGUACCAGCCCCGUGCCAAAAUCUCCACGGCUUUCACUCAGCCCAACUGUGACUACAGAAAAACUCCAUGUGAAGAAGGCGAACUACAAUGUGGAGGCGACUCCCCAUCACAGAACUUCCAGUGUAGAUGUGAUGAAAAUAAAGGAUAUAGACCUAAUCCCCAUGAAGGAUGUGACUGUUUUAUCAAGGACUCCAGUCACUGUGCAUGCCAGCAGCACCAAUGUAGACCUGGCGAAAAGUUAAGAGCAAAUUUCACUUGUGUACCAGUCAGUAAACCAACUAUGAAGCCCCCAGCAACUAAAACACCAGGGGCUACGGUAGCAGCUAUCAUCCUAGGGGUGCUGUUGGCUAUUGCUAUACUGAUCAUAAUAACUUUGGUCGUCAUACUACGAUAUAUGAACUCGGAUGUCUUUUCAGCAAAAAAGAGGACAGAACAAGCCAGUUGUGAAGUUAACUGAGCCAGAAGUCGAAGCAGGUCCCCCCCAGCGAUAUGGUGCAGUUCAGGAAAGAAAACAAGCGCGGAGAACACCUGUACAACAGAAUAAAGACGGUUUUCAUUGAAGCUGUUGACCCGAAGGCCCUCCUGUUACGGAUAGACUUUCGCGGCUUUAAUGAUGAACGACUGCAUCAGUAUAUCGAGAAACACGCCCGAGAAGACGGCGCCGUUGAGCUCCUGCUGACCGUGAAGAGACAAUUUCCCAAUGACUGGUUCCAGAAGCUAACGACAGCUUUACGGCAUGACAACAUUGGUCUGUCGCACACUGCUGAAGAAAUGGAAAAAAUCAGAAACAGAUUAUCCAGUGAAACAGCCGAAAUGCGAAACAGCGGAGAACGGGUCUCAACAACUGAGAAUCCAUAUUCCGAAGUACUUCCUUUACUGCCAACAGCUCCCCCGGGACAGGAACAUGAAACGGCGAACGUCUAGCAUCAAAACUUGGCAGAUAUGUGAGGCAGAUCCCAAAGU
rnacentral:misc_RNA from 1 species